CCUCCUCCUUCUUGGCAGCUCACACAGGACCGCGAAUGGGGGACACAGGCACGAAGUGGGAGAGGACAGUGGACCUCCUUUCCUGCCUCAGCCGGGCCCAGUUUCAAGUCGGCAGUCAGCUCCUGGUCCUGCUCCCAGUGCCCGGGCUGACCGGUCUGGGGUGCACAGUGGCCUCCGUGGAGGAGCAGAUCGCCUGUGCACUCUGCAGAGAAGGAGAAUUCCUGGGCCCAUCCAGGAAAUGCUGUGUCCAGCAGUCUGCAGCAGCCUGGGGAUUCCGAAGCAGGUGUUUAAGGACCAGAGAUGGAAAAGGUGACUAACGCCAGCCCCAUCUGCACCUCUGGGCCUUUGCACGUGCUGUUUUCGCUUCCUAGAUUAUCUUGUUCUGCCUCUUGCCUUACUGAGGGCCAACUUAAGCUCUCAACUUAAAUAUCACCUCUCUGAAGGAUCCCUUCCUCACCUCCCCCAGAGGCAGAAGUUCUCAACUCUGGCCACACAGUUGACUUGCCUGGGAAGUUUAAAAAACAAAACAAAACAAAACAAAAACACAAAAAACAGCAAAAACAAAACAAAACAAAAAACAAUGCCAGGGCCAUCCCAAUGAGAUCAGAAUUACAGUGGAUGGGGCCUGGGCACCCCUUUUUUCCUUUAAGAUAUAAGGAGUGUUAUGCUGACACAACAAGAACUUGCCAGAAAAACGGGAGCCCCGGCUGCAGCAUUUGCCAGUGUCCUUGGUGAGAAUACGGCUGCCACAACUGAACCCGAACUAUUAAGGUGCCAUCACGGACUAUGGAGUUGGGAAGGGACGUGCUUCCAAAUGCAACAGGGCUCUAGCACACCCAGGACAAUCAAGUUCAGCUUCGUGAACUUUCCUUGUGUGACUCCAGACAGUGCCUAACACUUGCGGGGCUCCAAACAGCUCCCAGCUGAGAACCACUGACCUACAUCAAGAUGGGAACAUUUCGAGAAACGCAGAGGCUGCUCUCAUGCCUUUCAACUACACCCCGCCUCAAAGGGGGGGGUGUUCUUCUGCCUCCCGCCCCCACUACCUAGUCCUUUCGCUUGUUCUUGAAAUUCCAGGAAAAAAAAAUCACACUGCAAGUA